rnacentral:lncRNA from 1 species
AAAUUCUGGCCAAUAUUUUAAGGCAUGUAACAGGAAUAAGAGAUUGAGCUUUUUUAGAGGAAAAGAUAGAAUGUCAUCAAGACAACUGACUGACGGGAGUUCCCACUGUGGCACAGUGGAAAUGAAUCUGACUAAUAUCCAUGAGGAUGCUGGUUUGAUCCCUGGCCUCACUCAGUGAGUCAGGGAUCUGUCACUGUCAUGAGAGCUGUGGUGUAGGUUGCAGACACAGCUUGGAUCCCAUGUUGCUGUGGCUGUGGUGUAGGCUGGCAGCUGUAGUUCUGAUUCGACCCCUCACCUGGGAACUUCCAUCUGCCAUGGGUGUUGCAAGUUAAAUGUUUCUUUUCUUGGUAUUUUGAAAAGACAAAGAUUCCCCUCCCCAUGAAAAAAAAACUUCUGCAGAUAAAAACAGAGUUAUAAGUGAGAAGAACAGAUAAAUGGAAAAUGUUCAUGGAUUGAAAGAAUUAAUAUUGUUAAAAUGUCCAUAUUGCACAUAGCAAUCUACAGAAGGAAUGAUUCAAUGAAAUCCUUAUCAAAACAUCAAUGCCAUAUUUCAUAGAGAAGAAAUAAUACCAAAACUUGUAUGGAAGAACAAAUGACCCUGAAUAUCCAAAGUAAUUUUGAGAAGGAAGAAUAAAGUUGGAGGUAUCAUGCGCCCUGAUUUAAAGCUAUACUACAAAGCUACAGUGAUCAAAACAGUAUGAUACUUACAUUAAAACAGAAAUAUUAAUCAAAGAAACAGAAUAGAGAGCCCAGAAGUAAACCCAACACAUAGUCAAUUAAUCUAUUACAAAGGAGGCAAAAAUAUCCAAGGAGGAAAAGACAGUUUCUUUAUUAAGCGGUGUUAGAAAAACUGCACAGCUACAUGCAUAAAAACGAAAAUAGACAAUAUUCUCAAACCAUGUACAAAAAUAAACUCAAAAAGGGUUAAAGAUUUAAUGUAAGACCUGAAACCUAAAACUCCUAGAAGAAAUGCAUUUUUCCAAAGAAGAGAUAUAGAUGGUCAACAAACACAUAAGAUGCUCAACAUCACUAAUCAUCAAGGAAAUACAAAUCAAAACCACAAUGAGAUAUCACCUCACACCUAUCAGAAUGACUAUCAUCAAAACGACAAUAAUAAAUGUUGUUGAGGAUGUGGAGAAAAGGGAACCCUUGUACACUGUUGGUGGGCAUCUAAGUUGAUGCAGCCACUAUGGGAAACAGAAUGGAAGUUCCUUAAAAAAUUAAAAAUAGAACUACCAUAUCAUUCAGCAAUUCUACUCCUGGUUAUUUAUCUAAAGAAAGUAAAAACUUUAAAAGAUACAUGCACCCCUAUGUUCAGUGCAGUGUAUUUACAAUAGCCAAGUAUUUUCCUGCGUUUUGAAAACAAAUCUGGGACAUCAUACAAAUUCUAUUUAUUUCUUAAAUUUACAUAGAAUCUCUCUGAAGAGCUCACACACAGUUCAUACACUACAACACAGACACUUAUUCUAGUGAGGUGUACCCUUUAUCAUUUUAAGACGUUGAAAAUAUACUUAAUGAAAUUUUUUACACACCUUAAACAUUUACUAGUUUCCCAUACCAAGUCAACAAGCAUUUACUGAAUAUAUUAUAUGUACUCAGCCAUGUGUUAGGUAUUGAGGAGAGAGACUAAACACAAGCCUGACUUCCCUAAGAAAGACGGUGGAACAAUAUUUCAUUAAACAUUUGUGGUGACUAAGACAAAUUAUCCUUGGUUAUACUGUAGUGAGAAAUAUUGAUAGAAGAACUUAUUGGAGAAAGGAGACUCAUAAAUUUCAAACAAUUGGACAAUGGUUCAAAAUAAUUUACAAUCAAGUGAUAACUGGUACAGUGUAAAUUAUUGAUACUUCGUUAGUUAAAAAGGAGAAAUUAGUAAGCUUAGAAAGGGAGAAAGCCUCAUCAAGAACAGUUGAAUUUAAACUUAAAAUAUGAGCAAGAUUAAGGUAGGAAGAAAGGACAGAGGUUACAGCUGAGAAGAGCACCAGAGAAAUGCAUUGAGACAGAGAUGACUAAGAUAUAUGGAAAGUAACCUGGGUGCUCCAGGAUUUAGAGGAAUAGAUGAAAGAAUUGUAAUGAGAGUGAAAUAUGUUAUUUUUUAGCAUGUUUUAACCAACUAUUUAUUAGUGAUCUGACCUAUGUUAUUACUUUAGAGCCAUGUGGGAAUAUACCAAUGUGGCCUAGGAGCAGCCAUGAGGUCAUGGACCUGGGGUGGGAAAAAUCAGUAGGCCAUAGAAAUAAAAUUGACUGACAUAUACCUGAGGCCAAGGAAGACAUAUAUACCAUGUGCGAUAAACCAAGAAAGCAAAUAUAAGCUUCGAGAAUAGCUUCAGGAAAGAAUAAAAGAGGUUGGAAGACUCUUAUAUUUCUUUGACCAAACAAAAAUGAUUAACUGUGACCGUCAGACUCAAAGAUGGUCCCCAAAGAUCCCAGUCUCCUGGUAUUUGCAUCUUUGUGUAAUCUCCUCUCCUUGACUGUAGGCUAGCGUAGCUAUUGGCUUCUAACCAACAGAAGAAGGCAAAAGUGAUGGAAUAUCAAUUCUGCAGUUAAGGCACAGAAGACUGACUUUCAUCCUAGCAUAUUCUCUCCUUUGCUGGCCUUGAUGAAUGCUACAAAUGGUUAAGGGUAGGGAAGUUUAGCAGUGAAUAGGGGGAGGGGAGCUUUUACACGUGCGCAUAAUUGCAUGUUUAAGACUCACAAUUUAUCAUUCCCCUGAAUGAAUGAUGUAAUGACUCAGUGCUAGUCAGAGAUGAAUGGCGAGUCCAAAGGAAAUCUUCCUUUACAUACCUUUUUUUAACUUUUCACACAGCUCAAAAGCCCCCCCUUUUUUGUUGUUGUUGUUGUUUUGCUAGUAGGACUAUUUAAGUUAUGAAUUAGUCCCAGUUUUUAUAUUUUGCCUCUACAGAAUGGACUAACUAUAAUUUUUCCCCUCUUGUGGAGGUGGAAUAUAAUUCAGACAUGCUAACCUGUAUUUCCAAAAAAGAAUAGGGAUGUGGAGUUCCCGUCGUGGCACAGUGGUUAACGAAUCCGACUAGGAACCAUGAGGUUGCGGGUUCGGUCCCUGCUCUUGCUCAGUGGGUUAACGAUCCGGCGUUGCCGUGAGCGGUGGUGUAGGUUGCAGACGCGGCUCGGAUUCCCGCGUUGCUGUGGCUCUGGCGUAGGCCGGUGGCUACAGUCCGAUUCAACCCCUAGCCUGGGAACCUCCAUAUGCCGCGGGAGCGGCCCAAGAAAUAGCAACAACAACAACAACAACAACAAAAGACAAAAAAAAAAAAAAAAAAAAAAAAAAAA